ensembl:lncRNA
CAGCACUUUCAGCUCAGCAGGACAUGGGCUCUCCAGGGUCAACCCAAGAAUGUUGUGGGGACCUCUUGUCACACCCAGAUAGAGGCAGCCCCCAGGGGGGUUCACUAUGAGUGGGUAGACCCGGUUCUGUGAGGAAGGACCUCCCAUUUGAUGGCCACCUGCUCUGCCAGGGCCAAGCCCAUUUGCCCCAUGGCUAGCCAGCCCAGACUUGCUGGUGGUGCAGCAUCUGCAGGUGGGAGGUGAGAUGUUCCCCACAGGGUUCCCUCUGCAGCCCUACAGCCCCCUCUCCAGCUGUAUAGGAGGUGCACCUAGGGCUACCUGUGUCCACCACCUACCUUGGGCGCUGUUCCUCAGAGAUGACUGGAGGGCAGGCCUGAGGGGCAGCAUGUGGCCAGGACCCACAGAAUGGCCCGUGUCACCACCAGGAAGCAAGCCCCCAUCUUGUCUCUUUAUCCAAACAGGUCCAGGUAAAGGCGAUUCAAUUAUGGGAUAUGAGGCUGGUCAGGAAGCAUGAGAGCCUGCACCAUCCUGCAGGCCACAGAGACCUUCGGUGGACAGUUCUGAAUGGGAUAAAGCCUGCAGGCCAGUACUCCCAUGAGAGCUCUUCUCCCACAGAGACUGUCGUAUUGGACACAGAAGCAAUAUCCAGCCUAAGGCUGCCAGCAAACAUCACACUGAAGCAUAAAAAGGUAGAAGGCAAGAAGAUGGGGAAAUCCUGUCACAUUAGUACUCAGUGUGAGGGUGCUCACCCCAGACUGUGUGGACUUUGAGACACCAGGUGUCAUUGGGGAUAAAGAGGGUCACUCCAAGAAGACACAAUGGAGAAAGUGAAGCUCUCUCUGCUCGGCUGACCCCUCACUCCUAUGAGGGCAAGUCAGUCACAGCAUGUGACCUGGCUUUGCAAAGAAAAAGGCAUUUCCCUAAGGUUAUGGGGUUGUGUUUGAGAUCAGCCCAAGACAGCCUGGCUCCUAGAAAAGAACCUGACCAGCCCUGUCUUCCUAGAGUGGGGCCACCUCGCAACAACCCUGGGCAGCCCUAUGAGUGGCUGCAGAGCACAGCUUGACUCUUCAUAGGAACCACCCAAACCAUCUUCAUCUCUAUGAAUCAUCCUCACAGAGACUGAGUAUUGAGGCGAAAAGAAACCCAGGUGCAUUGAAAGACUGGCUUGAAGGCUGACGUUACUUAGGAUGAGACUCAGAGUUUCCAUCAUGGCUCAGCAGAAAUGAAUUUGAUGAGCAUCCAUGAGGACACAGGUUUGAUCCCUGGCCUCCCUCAGUGGGUUAAGGAUCUGGCGUUGCUGUGGCUGCAGUGUAGGCCGGUGGCUGCAGCUCUAAUUCAACCCUAGCCUGGGAACCUCCAUAUGUCACAGCUGCAGCCCUAAAAAAGACAAAAAAUAAAAAAAUAAAAACAGGAUGAGAGUAGGUUAAAAAGUGAGUUGAUUUACAGGAAGUGGUAACAAAACUAUGGUGGGAAGUCCCUGGUGGCUCAUCAGGUUACGGAUCUGCCAUUGCCACCGGUGUGUCUCAGGUCCCUGCUGUGGAGCAAGUUUGAUCCCUGAUCUGGGAACUUCUACAUGCCAUGGGUAUGGCCAAAAAACAAAACAAACAAACAAAAAAAACCAACUAAAUUGAUAUUUGGACAAGGCAUAAUUGGAGAAAGAGGGGCUGACCCCUGAUGUCCGGUAUGGGGCAGCGACCAGCACCUGGCUGGUCCUGGCAUCCAAGGCCUGUGGGUCCCCACUCCUUUUCCUUAGAGGCCUUGUCUGGAGGACAGACGAUGGAUGUGCUGGUCUCUGAGGCCUGGGGACUAAGGGUCCUCAGUGCCUGAUGCUCUCCAUCGCUCUAAAGGGAGGGUGGCUCAGGUUUCUGGACU